UAAAAAUUCAAGUGUUUAAAUUGCAUGAAAGGAACUUAAAAUGUAAGCACUGCAAUGGAGUGUGAGUACAUGUGUGUCCGGACACGCCGAGCGACCCCUACAAGUCAAAGGACAGGAGCAGGAAUCGAGCGGGUUCCAUAAAAUAUCGCUUUCUGCGGCAGGUGCUCUUGUUGCAAUUUUGCAGAGAUGAAGAGGAGGGCCGACCCCAGCCAAAGCAGUCCUUCCUGCCACCGAGGCCUGCCUCGCAAAGUUCUGAGCUGCCGAUUCCUGAGUUGCCGUGCGGCCUUCUCGAGGGAACAGCGGGAGCGGAUUGGUCGGGCGCUGUAUGUAUUGUAUGAGAAAUGUAC